UUGAUAGUGAUCACCCUUGUUUUCAAUUUAUAGAUAGUGAAUUUCUACAUGAUCUUGCAGUAGGUGAUUGAUUAGAUGAUGAAAUUAUGAAUGCUCUUUAUCCUAAUGAACCUAUCUAAGAGGAAAAUGAGGAUGAUGUGAAACUUAAGCACCAGAUUUAAGAUGAUACACAUACUAGUCCUGUUCAUAACUCAAGUAAUGCACCGGCCGACCCACCUAUAGAAACUCCAACUUUUCUACUAGUCCUGUUAAUAACCCAACUAAUGCACCGACCGACCCACCUGUAGAAACUCCAACUUUUAAUAGACAACCUACUAAGCGUCAAGAAACAUCAUUAGUUUGGAAUUUUUUUACUCAAGUAAGAGAACUAAAAUAAGGCUAAGUGUAAAACUUGUGGGAAAUUACUGGUUCAUAAAUUUAUUGGAGACCGUAGCAGCACGGGUAGUUUGACUAGGCAUAUAAAAACACACCUACAGAUAGGGCUAAAUUUUUUCAAAUGCAAGCGCAGCAAGAGGGGACAAGUGUAGAUUCUGCGGUUAACCCUAGUACAGGUUCAACCAGGAAUUAACACUGUCGCCGGAGGUAUUUUAUAGAGAUCGUGAAGAAUUAGCAAAGAUGAUUACUGUUAUGUGCUUUUACCUUAU
rnacentral:lncRNA from 1 species